CCCCUUUGCCAGUUCACAUUGCAGUGCUGGCCGUGUCCAGUUCUGGAACAGUCCAAGGACUGGCCAGUGGGAGGCGCAGGGACACCGGGGCUGCAACGUGGCCGUGGAACUCUGGUGGCAAGCGACACAGGCUGCUUCCAUCUUGGUGUUUCCAGUUUGCAACUGUUUUGCUGAUCUAGGAAUUUCCUAUUCUGCAGGUUAGCAGAUUGUCAUUUGAUAAGGUUCAAAUGCACGUGUGAACUCAGCUGAGAUGGACAAGCUGGCCUGGCAAGAAAAUGUGUUCCCCAGCUCUCAGAAAGUGGGUCCAGCUUUUAGGGAAGACAAUGGAACAGAUUUGUUUGGAAGAUUCUGGAAUGUUCCUAGGAUACCUCCUUUUAUUGCCUUCUUCCACCUAAGCAGUCCCUACUGCCUGCAGCUGGAAUGGCCUCGGGCUAGUCCUCUCUGCUCUGCCUGUGCCUCUGCAAACUGAAGAUAGGAUACACGCGGACAAAGGCUUGACAGAGAAUGAAAGACCCCAACCAAGGGGGAGCCAAGGGCCAUCUUAGAAACACAUGUGGCACCUUAAACCAAAAGCACCUUAAAAAAUCACCUAAAAGGAUUUCCCAUCAUGGCGCAGCAGAAACGAAUCCGACUGGAACCGUGAGGUUGUGGGUUUGAUCCCUGCCCUCGAUCAGUGGGUUAAGGAUCCUGUGUUGCUGUGGCUGUGGUGUAGGGUGACAGCUGUAGCUCCUAUUCCACCCCUAGCCUGGGAACCUCCAUAUGCCUCGGGUGCAGCCCCCUGCCAAAAAAAAAAAAAAAAAAAAAAAAAAUCACUUAAGAAAUCAGCACCUUGGAAAAAGAUGAAACCUGACUAUCAGUUGUGGUCACUUUCUUGGGUCUUUCAGAAGUUCCCUGCUGAACUGCUCUCCCCAGAGUUCUCUGAACCUGGGGUCCCCGUGUGCUAAUUUAGGGAAAAGCUUUGCAAUAUUGGGUCUCCUCAGCCAUGGACAUGACCUCUCUCUUCAUUUGUUUAGUUAAUAUCUUUCAAUAGAGGCUCAUCAUUUUCUUCCAUAAAGACUUGUCCAUUUUUGUUAUUUGGUAGUUCUAAGCCUUGUAUUUUUUCAUACUUUGGGGAUUUUUAAAAACUACAUUUUCUUUUUGUUGCUGGUGUAUAAAAAUGCAACUGGUCUUAAUUUUUUUUUGGCCAUACCUGCUGCACUUGGAAGUUCCCAUGUCAGGGAUCCAACCUGCGAGCCACAACAGUGACUGGGGCUGCUACAGGGACAAUGCUGGAUCCUUAGCCUGCUGCACCACAAAGGAACUUCUGCAACUGGUUUGUUCAUUUGUUUAUUUUGAGGGCCGUACCUGCAGUAUAUGGAAGUUCCCAGGCUAAGGGUCGAAUUGGAGCUGUAGCUGCUGGCCCACACCACAGCUCAUGGCAACAAUGGAUCCUUAACCCACUGAGAGAGGCCAGAGAUUGAACCUGCAUCCUCAUGGAUACUAGUUGGGUUUGUUAACAGCCGAACCAUGAUGGGAACUUCUCUUUCAAUUUAUUUAAUUUGUAUUAUUUAAAACAGUGUUUGUAGGUGAUAAUGAAAUAAACAAUAUAUUUUUUUAGACCUUAAGCAGUCAAGAUAUUUACCUGUAAAUAUUUAACCCAUAUUUAAUUCCUGAUAUCCUGGUGAAAAAGAUAUAUGGAAAGACUUUGAAAAUGGCAAAGCACUAUAUAAAUGUAAGCUGUUAUUAUCUAAAUAACUUAAAAUCUCUUUAUAUCUAACCAGGGCAUUGAUGACUCGGGAGGACUCAAUUAAAAAGAAAAUUCAUAACAAAUGCCUGAGUGGAAGCCUAGCUCUGAUGAGCACCAGCUGUGUGCUUGACACCCAGCGCCUGUCAGCUAUAGGUUUCAGAAACUUCUGCAUAUGAACUGGAACCCGAUUUUCUUAUAAAGCAAGCAGAAGGAAUUUGUUAAGCAAUGCAUCCCUUGGGAAGUUCAUCACAAACCGACUUCUGUAAAGUCAUGACUCUGGUCUGGGUAGACGGCAUUUCAGAAUUUGUUGGUAAUGAUGGAAGAACACGUUGAUGUGUUAUUUGUGGUAUUUGCAGGGCCUGCCAUAGGCAACAAAGUGGGUGUCUCUAUACUUGAGGCUCUUUUCCUCACCGGCUCCUUUGGGGUGGCACAUCCAUACUUUGCAUGUGCCGUGGUAGUGAAGGGUGCCACACCCUGUGUGCUUUACCCAAACCCAGGGAGAGCACAUGGCUUAGGAUGGUUAGGAAUGUGGGCUUGGAGGUCAAUGCCCCUGGGGACCAGCUCUGGCUCUGCCACCUGAGCUCUGUGACUCUGGGAGAGUUCCCUCCCCUUCUUGAACUGGUCCUCCUCACCUGUAAAAUGGAGAGAAUUACC
rnacentral:lncRNA from 1 species